rnacentral:rRNA from 1 species
UACGUAGGGGCUAGCGUUAUCCGGAUUUACUGGGCGUAAAGGGUGCGUAGGCGGUCUUUCAAGUCAGGAGUGAAAGGCUACGGCUCAACCGUAGUAAGCUCUUGAAACUGUAAGACUUGAGUGCAGGAGAGGAGAGUGGAAUUCCUAGUGUAGCGGUGAAAUGCGUAGGUAUUAGGAGGAACACCCGUUGCGAAGGCGGCUCUCUGGACUGUAACUGACGCUGAGGCACGAAAGCGUGGGGAGCAAACAGGAUUAGAUACCCCGGUAGUCCCUGAGCGGG